rnacentral:rRNA from 1 species
GCUUAACACAUGCAAGUCGAGGGGCAGCAUGGUCUUAGCUUGCUAAGGCUGAUGGCGACCGGCGCACGGGUGAGUAACACGUAUCCAACCUGCCGUCUACUCUUGGCCAGCCUUCUGAAAGGAAGAUUAAUCCAGGAUGGCAUCAUGAGUUCACAUGUCCGCAUGAUUAAAGGUAUUUUCCGGUAGACGAUGGGGAUGCGUUCCAUUAGAUAGUAGGCGGGGUAACGGCCCACCUAGUCAACGAUGGAUAGGGGUUCUGAGAGGAAGGUCCCCCACAUUGGAACUGAGACACGGUCCAAACUCCUACGGGAGGCAGCAGUGAGGAAUAUUGGUCAAUGGGCGAUGGCCUGAACCAGCCAAGUAGCGUGAAGGAUGACUGCCCUAUGGGUUGUAAACUUCUUUUAUAAAGGAAUAAAGUCGGGUAUGCAUACCCGUUUGCAUGUACUUUAUGAAUAAGGAUCGGCUAACUCCGUGCCAGCAGCCGCGGUAAUACGGAGGAUCCGAGCGUUAUCCGGAUUUAUUGGGUUUAAAGGGAGCGUAGAUGGAUGUUUAAGUCAGUUGUGAAAGUUUGCGGCUCAACCGUAAAAUUGCAGUUGAUACUGGAUGUCUUGAGUGCAGUUGAGGCAGGCGGAAUUCGUGGUGUAGCGGUGAAAUGCUUAGAUAUCACGAAGAACUCCGAUUGCGAAGGCAGCCU